CUUGAGUUAUAGGGGACUGUGAGCCACCCAGUGUGGGUGCUGAGAACUGAACUUGGGUCCCCUGGAAGGGCUGGAGGCACUCAGCCUCUGAGCCAUCUCUAUUCCUUUUGUGUUAUGCACAAAUUAUUUCAUCUUUCUCCUCCAGACUCAAAACCCUUCAGCAAUAUCUUUUCCACUGAUUGCCUCCCAGUGGGCUCUUCUUUAAAUCAAUAGGCAGAAUAAUGUCUCUAACCCUACACCAUAAAAUAUCCUUUAUGGCCAGACAGUCAGUCAAAGUAAAGAGUCCUACUGUCCUGUGCCCUUUUUCACUUUAUUCUUCAACAUACCCCAAGCUAGCAUUUAUUUCAUCUUCCCUUCACUCUGAUUCUAACUUUCCAUCAGAGUGGUCAUUAUUGUUAGUCUGGUGAUCUUCCUGCAGGUCCCAUCCUCCGUGUGCUGUCUAAGCUUCCAGAGGAGAAUGGCAGCAAUCCCUGGAUGUGGGGGAUUUGAGUUUGCACAGCCGCACUUGUUGCUGCCCUGCCCCUGACUGCCCCUCACUCAUCUUCUCCCUCUGUGGUUUCACCUCUCUCACCACAUAUCACACAUAACACACACACACAGACACACACACACACACACACACACACACACACACACACACACAUCUCCCUCUGUCAUCUUGCUAAUCUAAGUUACUGAAGUAUUUGUCUUUGCUAUCUUUUUCUAAUCCACCAAUAGAAUCAUUUUCCUUAAAUACCUAAGGUCUUGCAUAUAUUUAAUCUUUUAUGCUAGCUUUAUCUCAUGGAACCUCACACCUCUACCAAGUACCCAGUUCCUGUAUUUUGUGAAGAACUUACUUUAGGAUUUCUUAUACUCCUCUAGCCUGGUGUUUUUGAUCAGCUAAUUCUCCUAGCAGUAGAGAGAUGCCCAGGGCAUUAUGUGAUGUUUAGGAGAAGUCCUGACCUCUGUCUACAAGACAUGAGCAGCAAAUCUAUUGUAACAACAAAACUGCCUCCGGACAUUGCCAGUGUCCCCAGGUUAGCAACAGUAGACAUGAGACACAUCUUGGGAGAUUUAUAUAAUGAUCUAGAAACUGUAUCUUCAGGAAACAAUACCAGAUAUUGUUACUACGAUCUGAUUCUUAUGUAGUCUACUAGUCAAAUCUCUCUUUAAAGGUUUGCAAAAGCUAAGUCGGUUCUUAAGCCUUCAGUUCAGUCCCUCACACUACCAUUGAACUCUUCAGAUCCAGGCAUCUGCCACAUUUGAGUGUGUUACCUAUUCUUACUUACGGCUCAUAUUUAGCUUACCCAUAGCUGCCUAUGCCAGCUUCUCUCCCUCUAAUCACUAUGCCUCUCAUCUUCCUGAUUACUUAUCCUUUACUGCAAUUCAGAAUGCAAAUUUUGGUCUUCUCUACGAAUGCUCCUUUUUACUGGAGCCCCUCAAGGCCACCUUUGUAAUCCCCUUUGAACUCUUAGCCCCUUUGCCUCUUACUCAGGCUACUUAGAGCCCACUUACAGCCUAGUGUAAAAGGUUACAUGUGAUUCUUUCUUAUAUACCUUUGACUGCUUCUAUUCUAUUUGUCUUUUAAAAAAAACCCACAAAGAGAAUCAAGCUUCCCACUUAAUUUGUUGGAAUAAAGGCAAUAGCCAAAACAGGAUAUAGAAGGCAGAUAAUCCUGAAAUUCUAAUUAGGGAGAUGACUCUGCCCAAGUCUUUGAGUUUCUCUAGUUCUCAGUUGAACUCCCUUUCUAGAAUGUCUUGUUUAGUGACUUCUCCCCGCCAUCCAAAGGGCUAUUAUGAGGAUUAACAGAUGAUGGUAUUGAAACAAAAUGUCCCUUAGGGUGGAGAUGCCAGCCUCAGAGCCUGACAUCCUCCCUGAACUAGUGCUGAGAGAAGACAACCGAUUGUGAUUGUUACAAGCUGACCUUUGUCUCAAAUGUACAAGAUGGCAGGAACAUGUGUGUACAUUCAUGUACAAGUGUAGGUACACACACACACACACACAUAUCCCAAAAUCAUCACAUGUAAAUACUCAUAUUCAUGAAUUAUCUUUUGUCAGCUUUUUCCGUUCUACCACUAAUGGCACUAUGUGUCAUCAAUACACUGAAUCUUCUGAGGUCGAUUCUCUGGCUCUGCAGCAUGUUUUAUACUUGGAUAAUUUCCACUGUUUCUGUAGUAUCCCCUUCCUUCCCUGGCACCCAGUUCACCUUUAGUAUUUACGCUUGACACUUCAGAAGAAGCUCAUCUUGACUUUUACACUUCUUUCAAUUUUUCUAAAGCCUUUAAAAUAUAUUAUUCUUCCCUAGGAUAAAAAUGUAAUAGCCAAACAAUGCACAACUCUUCCAUAGCUUUAGUUGUUAAUAACUAAGCUCCCUGCAGCAACCAGAAGAGAAGAAAAAUGUUAAAUGUAGUUUUCUAGGGUUGAGGUAGAUUUCAAACCUUGGGCUGACUCACCAAAAUUUUGUCUGUUUUUCUUUUUCAAUUAUUUCACUUGUAAACUUAAGCUGACCGUGGUGCUUUGCUGCAAUCUAUUCUCAUGACUGUCACUGAGGGGUACGCUAUGUAAUGGUUCUAGAAAAUCUUCUGAAAAUGUGCUGACCUUGGACACUGUAAUUUCCCCACCAUGGUGUGUCUCUUCAGGGAAAUACUUCUGAAGCUAAGAGAAAUGAAGCCUACAGGAAUCACGUAUAGAGGAACAGAAUCUUAAGUAACAGCACAUCUGAGGAUGUUGAAGAAGCAUGGUGGCUGCCAGAUUGAUGGAUGAG